rnacentral:rRNA from 1 species
GAUCCUGGCUCAGGAUGAACGCUGGCGGCGUGCUUAACACAUGCAAGUCGAGCGAAGCACUUUACUUGGAUUUCUUCGGAAUGACGAGUAUUGUGACUGAGCGGCGGACGGGUGAGUAACGCGUGGGUAACCUGCCUCAUACAGGGGGAUAACAGUUAGAAAUGACUGCUAAUACCGCAUAAGACCACAGCACCGCAUGGGUGCAGAGGUAAAAAACUCCGGUGGU